GACGAACGCUGGCGGCGUGCUUAACACAUGCAAGUCGAACGGAAAGGCCCUGCUUUUGUGGGGUGCUCGAGUGGCGAACGGGUGCGUAACACGUGAGUAACCUGCCCUUGACUUUGGGAUAACUUCAGGAAACUGGGGAUAAUACCGGAUAGGAGCUCCUGCUGCAUGGUGGGGGUUGGAACGUUUCGGCGGUUGGGGAUGGACUCGCGGCUUAUCAGCUUGUUGGUUGGGUAGCGGCUUACCCAGGCUUUGGCGGAUAGCCGGCCUGGGAGGGUGGCCGGGCACAAUGGGACUACGGUACGGACCAGACUCCAACGGGAGGCAACGGGCGGGAAUAUGACACAGUGAGCCGACGCCUGAGGCGGCGGCGCCGGGGGCGGGAUGACGGCCUUCGGGGUGUGAACCGCUUUCGCCUAUGACGAAGCGUGAGUGACGGUAAUGGGUAAAGAAGCACCGGCUAACUACGUG
rnacentral:rRNA from 1 species